rnacentral:lncRNA from 1 species
GUGUUAUGUUUUUUGUCCUUUAACUAAUUGGAUGAGAUAUCAUACCACACCACACCAAAACAAAUUAGUCAACUAGCUAGUGGUGAGAAAAAGAAAAAGAAGUCAUUUUGUACUACUACUACUACUGCCCACAUGAUGCCACAGUCCUCCAUUAUCUCCUUCCCUUUCUUUCUUCGCCUACAUCAUAUUUUCUCUAUCUGUCAAAAUUUUCGUUUCUACAAUGGGGUUUUGUGUAUGUUCUGUCCACUGCAUGUACUCAGAGAAAAAAAGUAAAAGAUCUUUUUCCUCUCCUACUGGCUACUAGUAGUACUAGAGUUUAGGGUAUGGUGUACUCCAACACAAUUCAGACACACAUAAAACCCUAAUGGCCGCUAUCAGAUUCAGAAUUUAGACGUCGUGAGUUUAAGUCAGAAGAUGAAUGUUAUCUAGGUUUUCCCAUUAAAAGGGAUUGUGUUUUGGUUUUAGAUCUGAAUUUUAGCAUGAUAAUGUUUGUGGUUGGGUGUGAAGCAAAUACUAAGAGAAUAGNNN